GAUUCGGACUGGUUCAGGACUUCAAGAUUCGGACUGGUUCAGGACUUCAAGAUUCGGACUUGAGAGAUUCAGUACUGUCUCUCCUAUUGCUUCUGUUAUUGUUUUUCAUGAUAAGAUGAAUGGGGUGAAGAUAAUUUCCAUGCUUUUGGCUAUCUUAGGGUAGUGGUUAAGGACAUAACCAACUUGAGAUUUCACAUUUGAAUUUCAUAACAUUAUUUGAAUUGUAUUGAAAUUUCAUAACAUUAGUUUACUGUGUAUACUUGUGGAUUGCUUCAACUAGUUAGUUACUCAUUACAUAGCUAUUAAUCUGUUUUCCUUAUUUUUUCUGAUAGAUUAUGGCGAGGACAAAGCAAACUAAGAGGGUAUCGUCUGAAGAGUUGGCCGAUCGUCGUGCCUAUCUCCACGCUUCUCAUAGGCGAGGUGAUCAUGAUACAGAUGUGUCGACUUCUCGGAAGCGGGCUAGGAAGGGUGCUAGGAAGGGGGCUCCGAAGGCGACCACUGAGGUUCCUGCCCCUGCUACUGAGGUUCCUGCUACUCAGGUUCCUGAUACUGAGGUUCCUGCCCCUGCUACUGAGGUUCCUGCUACUCAGGUUCCUGCUACUGAGGUUCCUGCUCUCUCGACGCCUGAGGUUACUGCUACUGAGGUUUCUCCUCAGUCGACGCCUGAGGUUACCGCCCACGAUACUGUUGAGCCUUCCACCUCUUCACUUGAUAUUGAUGCAGUUGAGGAGCCGGAGUCGGAGUCGGGGUCUGAGUCUGAGAUUGAGGGUGAGGAUGUAGAGGUAGAGGAUCCGAAUAUGCCGCCGCUCCAGAGAGAUCCACCGUUUCCUGGUGGGCCGGUUGAGUUGUCACUUCUGCAGCAUUACCCGGAUCACAUAGCGCCGUGGACGUGGCAUACCCUACUAGGCACCACUGACCCUCGUUAUUCUGAGCGAGGUGAUUUGAGGCUUGCCACUGCUGGUACGAAGCUCGGGCUGAUGACGUGUGAGGGGGACAAUUACAGGGAGGUCCGCUUGAUUGUGGAGAGGAGCGGACUGUAUCCACUGGUCAGGUGCAGCUAUGUAGAGACGGAUCCAGGGCUUAUAUCGGCCCUUGUGGAGAGGUGGCACGAGGAGACUAGUAGUUUCCACAUGCCAUUUAGGGAGAUGACUGUCACCCUUGACGACGUCUCUGCUCUUCUUCACAUCCCGGUUGGUGGGAGAUUCUACACUCCAGGAGUGGCCUCGAGAUAUGAUGUGGCAGAGACCUGCGCUUUGCUGUUAGGGGGGGAUGCAGAUUUGUACAUGGCUGAGUUUGAUAAGCUUAGGGGUCCGACUAUGAGGUUCAGCUUCUUGCGAGACCUUUACCCGAAAGCUGUUGCAGGUUUGUUUCAUUCAUUAUCUGAACUUUUUCCAACUAUUAUUUAUAUUUACUUAAUCAUAAUUGGUAUUACAUUGUAAUGUAGAGUGGCGGUACGAGCAUGCAGCCAGGAUGUACCUGAUGCAUCUUGUUGGCGCGACAUUGUUCGCCGACAAGAGUGGGGGGCACUCAUUCUCCGCCCGUUGGAUAGGCAUGCUACAGGAUCUUGAGCGGGUGUCGGAGUUCGCGUGGGGCGCCAUGGCCCUUGCCACGUUGUACGACCAGCUUGGACAGUCUUCUCGCAGCGGGGUCAAACAGAUGGGCGGUUACACUUCCCUGUUGAUGGCCUGGGUCUUUGAGCACUUUCCAGACAGGCUCGUUCGCCGGUAUGCGAACCCGGCUUACACAGAGGACCAUCCCAGAGCUCGUAGGUGGACAGAGUCACGGUCGGGGCAUGCUAGGCUUGACGAGAGGCGAGUACUACUUGAUGAGUUGACGGCCGACGACGUCACUUGGACUCCAUAUGAGGCCCACAGGGAAUGGCGACAGCGGGAUGAGAGGGCUUUGUUCUCAGCUACAUUCGGUGUCCCUAUCCCCCUGCUGUGCGACCUCAUCUUCCGGAGCGGGUCAUGCGACAGUUUGGGUAUAUAUAGACGAUCCCGCGCCACCCUAGUGAGAUGGAUAGAUCUCCCGCAGCUGAGGCUGUUGAUGCGGCAUUCGCAGGUUAUGUGCAGUACUUGUUCCCUGAGGGCGACCCUGCUAUAGAGGAGGGACAGGCUGUGGGCGGUUACAUGGAUUGGUACGCUAGAGUGUCUCAUUGUUUCAUCAUACCGGAUGAGAGGAGGAUUGAUCUCAGUGCCGUGGCUGCUUUGCGUAGGGCUUUAGAAGUCCUUGAGUUGUCACUUGAGGUGAAUGAUGCUUUGCUGCCAGGCACACAGGCCCGCGCUUUAACGGAGAGAGCACUUCGCAUCCUCCAGGACUUGGCUGGGACACAGGGCAUUGCUUACGCUGCUGGGAGAGGAGGUCUGGGAGCAGGUGGCCGAGUAGGUGGCCGAGCCGGCGGCCGAGCAGGUGGCCGAGCAGGUGGCCGGGAGGGCGGCAGGGCAGCAGGUGGCCGGGAGGACGGCAGGGCAGGAGCCAGGGGAGGUCGUAGGGGUAGGGGAGGUCGUCGGGGUAGGGGACAGUAGGGGACAUUAGUUGUAUGAGCAUUUUGUUGACAUUACUAUUAUGAUAUUAGGGGACUAUGUAUUUUGCACUACUAUUUCGGAUUAGUAUGAGUUUUAUCUUCAC